rnacentral:lncRNA from 1 species
UUCACAUGUACAUUGAAGUUUGAGAAACACUACUUGAGAGAUUUUCUUUGCCACAUUUUGAAAAACUGAGUUCUUUUAUUUUCUACCUUGACAUUGAAGUUGUUUGACUCAUUUUCCUUUAAGUGCGGGAGAUGUCUUUUGUUUGGGUUUCAUCUAUUGAGUCACACAUAUUCCUUAUGACUUGUUUACUUCCUUCAGAAACCCUGUUAUGUAUGCAGUAGGUGAACGUUCAUUGCCUUCAUGCAUGGAAUUAGAUCUGUGUUAUUUUACAGUUUUUAUUUCUUAAAUCAUUACAAGUCUAUUGAAUUAUUUGUAAAUUUAAAAAGUUUUAAAAAUAUUUGAUGUAUUAUUUAUUAUCUGGGAAUAAGUUUAAACAAGCAUAAUCCUGAUAAAUAUUUAGUAUUUGGCUCUUUUAAUAUUCAAGAAGAUAUUAAAAAUGUGUAAUCCCUGAUGUGGGUAUAGGAAUAUAUUCUCCUUCUACUUUCCCAUAAUUUUAUGUGUUUUAUGUUGAAAAUUCAUCUGGAUUGCCUGAUAAAAAUGCUAUGGCCAAGGGGAUACAAAAUUCAUCAUUUGAAAUUUCAAAAUUUUGUAUGAGAUUGACACAUAACAAGAGAGCUCAACAGUCAUACUGUCCCCUCCCCACCCUCAGUCUUGAGGCCCAUAUAAAAAUCAAAACAGAUAAUCAUAUAAGGAAAUCAGUGCUUUAUUGAACUUCAUUUACUCAUUUACUUUUUUCCUGCUACUACAAAAUGCUUGGAGGAGAGAGCAGCAUAAAUUUUUCAGAGAUUUGAACACUGAAUUAUCUCUAAUCCCUCAGAAAAAGAGGAUGUUAUAUACAACAGCUUUGUGUUAAUGAUGCUUUGGGGAAUUAAGAAGGGGUGGUGGCCAGGCAUGGGGCAAAGUGUUCUAGAAAUAGGAUAAGAGGCUCACAAAACAGAACCAGAUAUGGGAAUUUAUAAUUCAGGAAAAAAGCAAGAAUUUGGAGUAAGAGAUGACCAGGGAAACAAAAGUCCCUCGGGAAAACUCAAAAUCUCUGGAAGUUUGAUGAAUUUCCUUCACUCCCUGGAAUUGAAGCUUGAGUCAGUUUAUUAUGUUAUCAAAGGAUAAUGCCACAAGGCUGACUGACUUGGAGACAUUCAGGUGACAUUUGCUUUUCGGUUACUUUGAAAUCCUGCUUUAUUCUCCUCUGAAUGUACACCAUUUUGUUGAUGUCUCUAAUUCAUGGCUACUAGAUUUAACGAUAAAUUGUAAUAAAUAUGUUCUAACCAGUACA